rnacentral:rRNA from 2 species
GGUUAAGCGACUAAGCGUACACGGUGGAUGCCCUGGCAGUCAGAGGCGAUGAAGGACGUGCUAAUCUGCGAUAAGCGCCGGUAAGGUGAUAUGAACCGUUAUAACCGGCGAUUUCCGAAUGGGGAAACCCAGUGUGAUUCGUCACACUAUCAUUAACUGAAUCCAUAGGUUAAUGAGGCGAACCGGGGGAACUGAAACAUCUAAGUACCCCGAGGAAAAGAAAUCAACCGAGAUUCCCCCAGUAGCGGCGAGCGAACGGGGAGGAGCCCAGAGCCUGAAUCAGCAUGUGUGUUAGUGGAAGCGUCUGGAAAGGCGCGCGAUACAGGGUGACAGCCCCGUACACAAAAGCGCAUGUGCUGUGAGCUCGAUGAGUAGGGCGGGACACGUGGUAUCCUGUCUGAAUAUGGGGGGACCAUCCUCCAAGGCUAAAUACUCCUGACUGACCGAUAGUGAACCAGUACCGUGAGGGAAAGGCGAAAAGAACCCCGGCGAGGGGAGUGAAAAAGAACCUGAAACCGUGUACGUACAAGCAGUGGGAGCACAGGUUUACC